rnacentral:rRNA from 1 species
AGAGUUUGAUCCUGGCUCAGAUUGAACGCUGGCGGCAUGCCUUACACAUGCAAGUCGAACGGCAGCACGAGAGCUUGCUCUUGGUGGCGAGUGGCGAACGGGUGAGUAAUAUAUCGGAACGUACCCUAGAGUGGGGGAUAACGUAGCGAAAGUUACGCUAAUACCGCAUACGAUCUACGGAUGAAAGUGGGGGAUCGCAAGACCUCAUGCUCAUGGAGCGGCCGAUAUCUGAUUAGCUAGUUGGUGGGGUAAAAGCUCACCAAGGCGACGAUCAGUAGCUGGUCUGAGAGGACGACCAGCCACACUGGAACUGAGACACGGUCCAGACUCCUACGGGAGGCAGCAGUGGGGAAUUUUGGACAAUGGGCGCAAGCCUGAUCCAGCAAUGCCGCGUGAGUGAAGAAGGCCUUCGGGUUGUAAAGCUCUUUUGUCAGGGAAGAAACGGUGGACUCUAAUACAGAUCACUAAUGACGGUACCUGAAGAAUAAGCACCGGCUAACUACGUGCCAGCAGCCGCGGUAAUACGUAGGGUGCAAGCGUUAAUCGGAAUUACUGGGCGUAAAGCGUGCGCAGGCGGUUGUGCAAGACAGAUGUGAAAUCCCCGGGCUCAACCUGGGAAUUGCAUUUGUGACUGCACGGCUAGAGUGUGUCAGAGGGGGGUAGAAUUCCACGUGUAGCAGUGAAAUGCGUAGAGAUGUGGAGGAAUACCGAUGGCGAAGGCAGCCCCCUGGGAUAACACUGACGCUCAUGCACGAAAGCGUGGGGAGCAAACAGGAUUAGAUACCCUGGUAGUCCACGCCCUAAACGAUGUCUACUAGUUGUCGGAUCUUAAUUAACUUGGUAACGCAGCUAACGCGUGAAGUAGACCGCCUGGGGAGUACGGUCGCAAGAUUAAAACUCAAAGGAAUUGACGGGGACCCGCACAAGCGGUGGAUGAUGUGGAUUAAUUCGAUGCAACGCGAAAAACCUUACCUACCCUUGACAUGUCUGGAAUCCUUGAGAGAUCAGGGAGUGCUCGAAAGAGAAUCAGAACACAGGUGCUGCAUGGCUGUCGUCAGCCCGUGUCGUGAGAUGUUGGGUUAAGUCCCGCAACGAGCGCAACCCUUGUCAUUAGUUGCUACGAAAGGGCACUCUAAUGAGACUGCCGGUGACAAACCGGAGGAAGGUGGGGAUGACGUCAAGUCCUCAUGGCCCUUAUGGGUAGGGCUUCACACGUCAUACAAUGGUACAUACAGAGGGCCGCCAACCCGCGAGGGGGAGCUAAUCCCAGAAAGUGUAUCGUAGUCCGGAUUGUAGUCUGCAACUCGACUACAUGAAGUUGGAAUCGCUAGUAAUCGCGGAUCAGCAUGUCGCGGUGAAUACGUUCCCGGGUCUUGUACACACCGCCCGUCACACCAUGGGAGCGGGUUUCACCAGAAGUGGGUAGCCUAACCGCAAGGAGGGCGCUCACCACGGUGGGAUUCGUGACUGGGGUGAAGUCGUAACAAGGUA